GACAGAGGGGGCAAGCGUUGCUCGGAAUUACUGGGCGUAAAGGGCGCGUAGGCGGGAUGGCAAGUCGGUCGUGAAAUCCCUCGGCUCAACCGAGGAACGUCGAUCGAUACUGCUGUUCUUGAGGAUUGCAGAGGAGACUGGAAUUCCCGGAUGUAGCGGUGAAAUGUGUAGAGAUCGGGAGGAACGACCGGUGGCGAAGGCGGGUCUCUGGGCAAUUCCUGACGCUGAGGCGCGAAAGCCAGGGGAGCAAACGGG
rnacentral:rRNA from 1 species